GUGACAUCAUGGUCCUCCUUGACCUCAUGGAUGCCGGAUCCCUUGAAUCCCUACUUCGCCGUUGCAGUGGCGCCCCUCUUCUCGAGCCAUCCUCACGAUCCCUUUCGAGAAGCCGUUCAUCGUGGCGCUCAGCCUUCUUCAACUCGGCCACACACCGCGCGAGCAACAUCCCAUUCUCAUGAUCCCUUUCGAGAAGCCGUUCAGCGUCGGUCUUAUAGCAGAUUUCCCAAGCGAUAGCAAUCGAGCAGAGGAAAGAGCAUAGGAGGGGGAUCCAAGAGGGGACAGCGGAGGAGAGGAGGAUGAGGAUGAGGGUGGAGUGGAGGGCGAAGGAGGCGCAGACCCGUCUUUUUCUUCUUCUUCUUCUUCUUCUUCCUCGCUGCAUUGCUCCCUACUCCAAAGAACUGAUGAAAGAGGAAUUCUCAAAGAAGCAAAUCUUGAAAGAAAGCUUCAAAACUCUGCUAAGAAAAACAUCACACCUAUGACCACCAAACAGAGAGAUGAAAUUCAUGCAACACCAAGGUUAUAUAUAUAUAAAGAUCAGCCAGAAAAACAACAGAAGAUGGUGAAGUUGGCAACACCAAGCGAAAUGUCAGCAAAGAAGAACACAAAUAUGAAAGGGAAAAACAAACAAACAUCCAUUCCAAAAGAACCAAAUUUUCAAAGAAUUGGGAUUGCCUUUGGCCCCAUUUAUCAGGUUUCCAUGCUUCUUCUCUUCAAUGUCUUCUCAUUGGACAAUGGCAACACUGUCAAUUGGCGUUCAAUAAGGUUGUAAAGAGAGACAAACUCAAAGGUGUCAUACAGAGGACUGCGACAGUCCCAUAUGGACACCUCUUCUUUCAUUUAUGGUCUCAAGGGAUAGUAUGUAACUAUUGUUUUUGCAUUUAGUUUUGUCUUCCUCAUUGUUGGCAAACCAUCAGUUUUUAUAUCUUUUGAUACAAUGCUUUAAACAAUAUUUGAAUAUAGUCUUCAUAUGAUCUAUAUUGUAUCCAUUUAUUUAAGAACUUCGAAAGAUUAAGUUCAU